rnacentral:rRNA from 1 species
CUGUUAUCCCCACGGUAACUUGUUUGAAAUCCUAUGUUAGGGUUAGGAGAUAUUCAGUAUAGGAAAAGAAUUGGUUUUGUACCACCCCAGUCAAAAAGUUAUUUUAAGUUCGAUGGGGUCUUGUCGUCUUCUCUUAAUAUUUAAGCCUUUUUACUUAAAUGUAAGUUUAAGGGAUUCAUAAUAAUAAAGAAUUCAACUCGUUAAUCCUUUCAUUCUAGCCUUUAAUUGAAAGGCAAGUUAUUAUGCUACCUUAGCACAUAAUAUUGCGGCUAUUUAAAAUUCAUUGAGCAGGAGGUACUAAUUA